ACGGCGCGGUUGGAGGGGGAGAUCAUCUUCAUCUUGGUCACCUUGCGGUCGAUGAUCUCCUCGGGGAGGUCAAACUCGCCAACCAUGCACAGGGGGAUGGCGCCACCGCAGGGCUUGCAGUUGUCCAUCUUGCGCUCGAUGAGGAAGGUCUCGCAGCCGCCCUUGGCGAGGGUCUCCGCGGCGCAGGCGCCCGCGGGGCCGCCGCCGAUGACGGCGACGCGGAGCUUGCGGCCGUCGAGGGACUUGCCCGCAGCCUUGAUGCCGGUGUCGACGGCGGCAGC
rnacentral:lncRNA from 1 species